AUCGAUGCCAGAGCAGAUGCAAAGCCUCACUUCCCUUCAUGAAUUAAAAAUUUCUGAAUGCCGGAAUCUUGAAUCAUUUCCUGAUGGUCUCCCAUCCAAUCUAAAAUCACUUUCUAUCAUCGAAUGCAAUAACCAGCUCAUACCCCAGCGUGGAUGGGGUUUGCAUAAUAUGGCUUCACUCACUUCUUUUGAUAUUCAAGGUGGAUGUAGUGGGGUGGAGUCUUUCCCUGAUGAGGGAUUGUUGCCUGCCGCUCUUAAUGUUGUCCAUAUCAGUGGGUUUCGGGAUCUCAAAUCCCUUAACCUCAAGGGGUUUCGGAACCUCAACUUUCUUAAAACGUUGAAUAUCUGUGAUUGCAACAACCUCAAUUGCAUGUCAGACGGGCAACUUCCUCUAUCCCUUGAUCUUUUGAAUAUUAUUGGAAGUCCUUUGUUGAAAGAACGGUGCGAAGUAGGAGGCGAAUAUUGGAACAAGAUUUCUCAUAUCUCCGAAAUAUUCAUUGAAUAAGAGCUGGAAAGGACCCUGAUGCAACAUAAUAAGUGAGUAAACUUCUUGCUGCAGCGGAACAGCUUCCCACGUCCCGAUUCAAGUUCCUAGAAAGUGUUGGAAUUGAUGUGAGUUUACGAGAAGUGGUUUUAUGUGUUUAUUAAAAAGCAAUGGUUAUCAUUGUUUCAAGGAACCCAAAUUUUGUUGUUGAAGCCCACAUCUUUCUCUUUCAACAGCACUAAUUCGGACGGUCAUAUAUGUCUUAUUUUUAUUGCCCAAAAUCAUUAAAAGAGAGAAGAGAAAAAUAGAACAAGAAGAGAGUGCAAGUAGUGCAGAAUUUCUGCAGUUUUUCAAGUGAACAGCUUACUCUCUAAAGUUUUAUAGUUUGUUUAUUAUUGAAUCGAGCUCAAAUUUGGUUUUUAAGAUCCUAACACCUGAUUCUUCAUUGUGAACAGUGGAGAUUUUGUUUGGAGCUUGAUUUCUUUAAGUCUUUGGUUAGGUGAUUUCCAGCAUAGAUGAGUUUCAUCAUUGUCAGCAAUUGAGAGACCAUGUGCAGUCCGAUUGAGCUGAUUUUUGGUGGACACAGUGGGAACAUAUUGUUCUUUAAUCUAAACGGUGGAAAUCGUGUUUUGACAACCAGAAGGUGGUCAAUUUGUGUGGAUAACUGUUGCAUUUUGGUGAAUUCUCUCCAUAAUCUUGUUAUCUCUUACUGAUUUGUUUGAAUUGUUUUGAGUUUUUUGAUUGAGAAUUGUUUAUGGUGGUUUGUAAUUGCUAUAAACUUUUGUUGUGAUAGUGGAGCUAUUUUAUUUGGACCAAGAGAGGUCUCAUGAUUUUAUCCUUUACUUUGAAAGAGUUUUCCCCGUUAAAGUUGUCGGGUUCUUAUGUGAUUGAAUUAUGCACUUUUUGGUAGGAAGGAUUUAUUGAUUUGAAUUAUUGUCCAAUUUAUCUCCCAUCACUUGUAUUUGUAUUGCUUUUAUUCAUGUAAAGAAAUUUGU
rnacentral:misc_RNA from 1 species